rnacentral:lncRNA from 1 species
CUCUCGGUUCCAUCUCAACCUCACACACACCUAUAUUGAGGUAUUUUUUUUUUAGUUUUUGUCUAGCACAUUAAAUCAAUGCUUCAUUGUUUAGUUUUCUUUCAUUUCUGCUGGCUGCCUUGUAUUGUUGUUGUUGCAUUGCUGAAAAUUGGGAAAUGGCAUGAACUAGAUGAAGGAAAAGGAAAUGAUGUCUGUGAAUGCAUAUUAAUUGUUUGAAAAAAUGCCAAAAAGAUUUUUAGGGACUGUUUUGCCUUAAUGUAGUCUUUUGUUAUUGUUUUCUGGUUAAUAAAAAAUCAUAGUUGUAUUGUAGAAGUUGUAAGAGUGUUGUAGUAUAAUUUUCAUGAUUUUUUGUGAAGGUUUAAGGGGUUAAAAAAAAAUAAAACCGUGACUGUUUUUUGGCCAUUUGACCACUUUUCUUUCCUUUUUUGUAAAAAAUAAUUCCGGAAAUGGAACCUACGCGAAAAACCGAGUGAGGGGGUGUAUUUUGAGAAAAUUUGGUAACCGGAGUGACCACCGGCGACGGCGGUCCGGUGGCGGCGGCGCCACCGGCGACCGCCAUGGCCGCCAGCUGAAGCUUCCUCAGCUGGCCGAAGAAGAAGGAAAAAGAAACGGCUGGAAGUGGAGAAAGGAAGAAAAGAAAAGAAGGAAAGAAAGAAAGAAAAAAGGGGUUUGGGCUAAGGUUAGUUUUUAGGUGGGUUUGUGAUUAUUUUGUUAGGUUUUGGGGAUGGGCUUUAGUUUAUUUUUUCUUUUGGGUUUCCGUUGGGCUAGGAGGUUGGAGCCCAUGUAUUUUUUGGCUGGGCUUGAGGGAUAAAAAGACGGGCUGGCCUGUGUGUUUUGGCUUGGGCUUUCAGUUGGGUUUAGGUAAGUUCGGCCCAAGUAAAAUAAAAAGGGAGGCCCGAUGCCCUUUUCUUGUCCAAAUCAGAAACGAACUUGCACUUCAGUCCCUGUACUUUCAAGUACUUUCACUGCGGCCCAUAACAUUUUAAAUUCCUUUCAACUCGGUCCUUAAAUUAAUUUCACUUUGGUCCCUGAAUUUUAUCUUUCAUUUAAUUUGGACCCCUGAACUUUGGAAAAUAUAAUUUUUGUCCCCCAAAAGUUUUCAAUUUUUGCAAUUCAGUCCUUGGCAAAUUUUGGCUCUCUUUAUUAUGAUUGUUUCUUUUCUUUAAUAGCUAAUUAUGCUACUUUUGAAUAUACUUAACUUGUAAUUUUUAGAUUUGCUUAAAUUUCUUUACGUCUGACAUAUUAGUGUGAAUUUAGUGCUUGUAUUAUUAUUUUCUUUUUCAAUUAAAUUGGUGCCAUGAUCCUUUUGUUCAUUGUGAGUAUAAUUAGGACAAUUUGAUUCCAUUUAGUCACCACUUCAAACGGGAGGUACUCCUAUUUUAUUAUUUCAAUGUCAAUUACGUGCUCUUAUGUGUUCCUAUGUGUUUAUAUAUCUUUAUAUGCUUUAUUUAUUUGAUUUAAAUAUUCAUUCAAAUUUUCUUAUAUAUGUUUUAGUUAGUUUUUAUAAUGAUUCGAGAGGUAUUUAAAUACCUCAAAAAUGUAAUAGAUAGGAUAAUUAGAUUUGUUUUAUUAUAUUUUCCCUCUUAGAUUGUAGUUAGGCGCUCCCCGAUGUAAUAGAUAGGUUGCGUGUUUAUGUGGCUUAUGUGUUAAGUGUUUUAUCCGCUUUUCUUAGGAUUUUGGCAUCUAGAUAUUAUGCUUACGUGUUAUGUGUUACGUGCUCUUAUGUGUUUAUUUGUUUUAAUUUAUGCUUUAUUUGCUUCACUAUGAAUUGUUAAUGCAUAACGUCACCACACUAGUCCAACGCUAGUUGUGGCUUCUCUCUUCGCUUACUUGCUAGUCCAACGCUAGUAAGGAUGUUUAGAAAUGGGCUAGUCCAACGCUAGACCCUUUAGGUCGUCUUGCGUUAGAUUCAUCUUUGUGUGCUAUUCACUACAUCUUCAUGCAUAUUUUUAUUUUUAGGAUUUUUUCUCAUUUGCAUGAUAUUCCCUAUUAUAUUAUCCCCUACCCUCUAUAGGCGCUAAUCAUGUCAUUUAGAAUUGCAUCUCAUUUAAGCUAGUUCAUUUGCUUGUUCAUGUUAAGAUAAUUGUUUUUCAAACAUGGAAAAUGGGUGAUUAUAACUUUUUAGUUUAAAUAUCCCAUUAAUCCCUGUAUAAGAAAAUUAUGUCACGAGUUUUGCCUCCCGUACCCUUUAUGUUGCAUUCUCCUUUUCUUUGAUCACUUAUAUAUAUGUAUAUAAUUUAAUUUAAUUUCUUUUAUUUUAAUUUCAUCAUUUGCAUAUUCGUGACACUUUCAAGGAAUCAUUUUGGCCUUCGCAAUUAAUGCGAUUGGUUCAAUUAAACCCCUUGAAUGAACAUUUUGUCCCUUUCGAUAUAUUUAGAUUUGCAUCCAUAUAGGAAACAUCCAAAUAUUAUAAAAUUAAGGGUUAGAUUAGGAAAAUUUUGACUAAACCUCGCAACUAGCUUAGAUUAGGUUGAAAGGGUGCCUUAGGUUUGAGUCAAUUGAACCUUUGCCUUCCCUUUCUUCAACCGUGACUCCCGAACCCAUUUUCUCUUGUUUUCAAAGACCUGGAGUUGUCAAAAAGGGUUUUAUUUUAUUUUAUUUUAUUUUUGGGUGAUUUGGUACACCAAAACUUCAUACCAAGUGGCGACUCCUAUUUUUUCUUAAAAACCCUUUUAGACUAAAUUUUGGACCCAAAUUGUCGCAUUCUUUUUAAGUCUCAUUCUAGGUCCCUUUUCAUUUAUUAUUAAUAAAUCACAUCUUUCUUUAUAAACUCUUUCUUUUUUUUCAUCGUUAAAAAUGGGGCGCGACAAAAUGUAUGUGCAUUUACAUACUAUUAAGUUAGACAUAAUAUAAGUAUAUUAGCGGUGCCUCACUGUUUGAAAAAUCCUUUAAAACAAGAAGGGUGCUUCGAUUGUCCUGUGACGAUAGCAGGGACGUUACUUGCCCUUUUACAAUUACUAGGUGGUGGCACCGCGCAGCGCGCGGUGGUAUAUAUGCCCAGUUAAGGUUUAGUUAGUAAUGUUGGUGAGAAUGAAACUUAAUGAAAUGGAGUACAAUCAAAUGGAACCAUAAAAUGGAACUAUAUUAUACAGGCAUAUUAGUGAGAAUUAGUAAUGUUGGAAAGAAGUUUUAAUUAUACAGGCAUUCUAAAUAUGAAAAUCAAACAAGUUUAAUUUUAAUCUUGAAUGUUUAGGUUGUGGAAGUUGAGCUGAUGAACGUCUAAAAGAUCAUUCAAAGAGUACGAAGUUAUAAUGUUGAACGCAAUUGCUCGAGACAGCCUGAUUGUUUAAGGAGAAGGUUGAAUGCAGCAAAUAAGUGUUCUUCCAUGCAAUUUAAAACAGAGCACUUACCCCCAGUCAUAUAAAGAAACAACACGAAUAAGGGAAACAAAUCUGUGAGGUCAUACAAUUCAACAUCUCCCCUUUUUGUACCCACAGCAAGAAUUUGUUGCUCUAAAGCAACUGAGGCACAUACAGCAUAACUAGAUGCCAGCUUCUUUUCAACUUUAAUUAAAUCAGUUUGCUUUAAUCCUUUCUUACUUCCAGAACAUGACACAAGUUGUCCAUCACAAAAGAGCAAAAAUAGUAACCUUAGUGAGAAGGAAAACUCCCUGUACACAAUAGCAGACUUCUUCCUCAUAUAAUUCAUCGGCAGAGAAACACCUUAUGCUCUAUUACAAGGAAGACCAUUGUCCAAAGAAUGAGACAAUUUAUCAGCUCCACUUCCAUCAGAGAGUGGAAUGUCAAGAUCAACAACCCCACAGAACUGCAUCACAGAAUAAGUUAAAUGAUAACCUGAUUGAACCUUUUUGAGAGGGAGAUACGGGUUUCUGGAUGCUUUCCAAUCUCCAUUAACAUCAUGUUAAGCAAGUAGAAAGGGAAUAGACGCAGCAUUUUAUAAUGGUGCUAAAAAAUGAAUUCAGCGCCUAAGCUACAAAUAUGCUUCUUCAAUGUGCAUUUGAAAGACAUGGAGGAACUGCUACAUUCACAUUACCUCUCCCUUCCAUGAUAUAUUAUACAAUGAUCCAUCAGAAAGUCCAACAAUCAUAUGUUUGUUAUCACAGAUAAUGUUGCUCCUGACAACAGUAAAAAUAAAAUAGUAUCAGAAAUUCAUCUGGAAUGAAAUACACAAAUAUAUCAGAUUGUCAAACAUCAUAUGAAUUUCAAACUUCUGGACACAAAUAUAUCAGAUUGUCAAACUUCUGGAUCCCGUUUCUUAC